GACGAACGCUGGCGGCGUGCUUAACACAUGCAAGUCGAACGGGAAUCUUUAUUUCGGUAAAGGUGAGAGUGGCAAACGGGUGAGUAACACGUAGGCAACCUGCCGACAGGAUGGGGACAACAUUCCGAAAGGAAUGCUAAUACCGCAUGAAGUCACCGGAGGGCAUCCUCCGGUGACCAAAGAUGGCCUCUGAAAAUGCUAUCGCCUGUCGAUGGGCCUGCAUCUGAUUAGCCAGUUGGUGAGGUAACGGCUCACCAAAGCGACGAUCAGUAGCCGGUCUGAGAGGAUGAACGGCCACAUUGGGACUGAGACACGGCCCAGACUCCUACGGGAGGCAGCAGUGGGGAAUCUUCCACAAUGGGCGAAAGCCUGAUGGAGCAACGCCGCGUGAUGUGAAGAAGGUCUUCGGAU
rnacentral:rRNA from 1 species